rnacentral:rRNA from 1 species
GUAGGAGGCGAGCGUUAUCCGGAUUUACUGGGCGUAAAGAGGGCGUAGGCGGUUUUUCAAGUCGAUUGUAAAAUCUCCCGGCUUAACUGGGAGGGGACAGUCGAUACUGUUGGACUAGAGGGCAGCAGGAGGAGGUGGAAUUCCCGGUGGAGUGGUGAAAUGUGUAGAUAUCGGGAGGAACACCAGUGGCGAAAGCGGCCUCCUAGGCUGUUUCUGACGCUGAGGUCCGAAAGCGUGGGUAGCAAACAGGAUCAGAUACCCUGGUAGUCCACGCCGUAAACGAUGGACACUAGGUAUAGGGAGUAUCGACCCUCUCUGUGCCGAAGCUAACGCAUUAAGUGUCCCGCCUGGGGAGUACGGCCGCAAGGCUAAAACUCAAAGGAAUUGACGGGGGCCCGCACAAGCAGCGGAGCGUGUGGUUUAAUUCGAUGCAACGCGAAGAACCUUACCAAGGCUUGACAUGGCGGGAGUAGCGACCUGAAAGGGAAGCCACCUGUUGAGUCAGGAACCGUCACAGGUGCUGCAUGGCUGUCGUCAGCUCGUGCUGUGAGGUGUUAGGUUAAGUCCUGUAACGAGCGCAACCCCUGUUGCUAGUUGUUUUCUCUAGCGAGACUGCCCUGUAAAAUGGGGAGGAAGGUGGGGAUGACGUCAAGUCAGCACGGCCCUUAUGCCUUGGGCUACACACACACUACAAUGGGUGGUACAAUUGGUAGCAAUAGAGUGAUCUGGAGCAAAUCCUAAAAGCCAUCCUCAGUUCAGAUUGCAGGCUGAAACCCGCCUGCAUGAAGUUGGAGUUGCUAGUAACCGCAGGUCAGCAUACUGCGGUGAAUACGUUCUCGGGCCUU